ensembl:ncRNA Y15E3A.7 ncRNA
AGCUUCGUCAACCACGCGCGCUCCACGCACAAAUAAGGUCCCUCAUCAGCUCUUUUUCUCCCUCUCCGUUUUUUGUUCGUGCUCCGUUUCCUUUUUUCUGCGCGCGGUUGGCUCUCAACGAACUCGCAUUCAGUCAGUUUCA